UAACGCGUAGGUAACCUGCCUUGUAGCGGGGGGAUAACUAUUGGAAACGAUAGCUAAUACCGCAUAACAAUGGAUGACCCAUGUCAUUUAUUUGAAAGGGGCAAAUGCUCCACUACAAGAUGGACCUGCGUUGUAUUAGCUAGUAGGUGAGGUAACGGCUCACCUAGGCGACGAUACAUAGCCGACCUGAGAGGGUGAUCGGCCACACUGGGACUGAGACACGGCCCAG
rnacentral:rRNA from 1 species